rnacentral:rRNA from 1 species
AUUGAACGCUGGCGGCAGGCCUAACACAUGCAAGUCGAGCGGAUGAAGGGAGCUUGCUCCUGGAUUCAGCGGCGGACGGGUGAGUAAUGCCUAGGAAUCUGCCUGGUAGUGGGGGAUAACGUCCGGAAACGGGCGCUAAUACCGCAUACGUCCUGAGGGAGAAAGUGGGGGAUCUUCGGACCUCACGCUAUCAGAUGAGCCUAGGUCGGAUUAGCUAGUUGGUGGGGUAAAGGCCUACCAAGGCGACGAUCCGUAACUGGUCUGAGAGGAUGAUCAGUCACACUGGAACUGAGACAUGGUCCAGACUCCUACGGGAGGCAGCAGUGGGGAAUAUUGGACAAUGGGCGAAAGCCUGAUCCAGCCAUGCCGCGUGUGUGAAGAAGGUCUUCGGAUUGUAAGGCACUUUAAGUUGGGAGGAAGGGCAGUAAGUUAAUACCUUGCUGUUUUGACGUUACCAACAGAAUAAGCACCGGCUAACUUCGUG